rnacentral:rRNA from 1 species
CUCACCAAGGCGACGAUCCCUAGCUGGUCUGAGAGGAUGAUCAGCCACACUGGAACUGAGACACGGUCCAGACUCCUACGGGAGGCAGCAGUGGGGAAUAUUGCACAAUGGGCGCAAGCCUGAUGCAGCCAUGCCGCGUGUGUGAAGAAGGCCUUCGGGUUGUAAAGCACUUUCAGCAGUGAGGAAGGCGGGUACGUUAAUAGCGUGCUCGUUUGACGUUAGCUGCAGAAGAAGCACCGGCUAACUCCGUGCCAGCAGCCGCGGUAAUACGGAGGGUGCGAGCGUUAAUCGGAAUUACUGGGCGUAAAGCGCAUGCAGGUGGUUCGUUAAGUCAGAUGUGAAAGCCCGGGGCUCAACCUCGGAACUGCAUUUGAAACUGUCGGACUAGAGUACUGUAGAGGGGGGUAGAAUUUCAGGUGU